rnacentral:rRNA from 1 species
AGCAGCCGCGGUAAUUCCAGCUCCAAUAGCGUAUAUUAAAGUUGUUGCAGUUAAAAAGCUCGUAGUUGAAUUUCGGGGUCAGUAGUCUGGUCGUGCCACUGGUAUGUACUGGGCUCACUGAUUCCUCCUUCCUGAUGAACUGUAAUGCCAUUAAUUUGGUGUUGCAGGGAAACUGGACUGUUACUUUGAAAAAUUAGAGUGUUUAAAGCAGGCUAACGCUUGAAUACAUUAGCAUGGAAUAAUGAAAUAGGACGUUCGAUCCUAUUUCGUUGGUUUCUAGGAUUGACGUAAUGAUUAAUAGGGAUAGUUGGGGGCAUUAGUAUUCAAUUGUCAGAGGUGAAAUUCUUGGAUUUAUUGAAGACUAACUACUGCGAAAGCAUUUGCCAAGGAUGUUUUCAUUAAUCAAGAACGAAAGUUAGGGGAUCGAAGACGAUCAGAUACCGUCGUAGU